rnacentral:rRNA from 1 species
GCGCAGCAGGCGAGAAUCGUUCACAAUGGGCGCAAGCCUGAUGGCGCGACGCCGCGUGUGGGAUGGAGGCCUUUCGGGUUGUAAACCACUGUCACAGGGGAAGAAAGGCACGGAUGCUAACAUCGUCCGUGUUUGACGUUACCCUGAGAGGAAGCCACGGCUAACUCCGUGCCAGCAGCCGCGGUAAUACGGAGGUGGCAAGCGUUGUUCGGAAUUACUGGGCGUAAAGGGUGCGCAGGGCGGUCUGUUGUGUUCGAUGUGAAAUCCCCCGGCUCACCCGGGGAACUGCAUCGAAAACUGACAGACUUGAGUGCAGGAGAGGAGAGCGGAAUUUCCGGUGUAGCGGUGAAAUGCGUAGAUAGUC